rnacentral:pre_miRNA from 1 species
UUCGUGAAUUUUAGCAUAAUGUCGUAACUGAGGAACUUAUCUAUUAUUCCUCUUACAAGGAUAUUAUGCUAAAUUUCAUGAGAUU